AACAUUUGUUAAUUGUUAUUUUAUUUUAAAACACUAACAUGGAGAAUCAAUUACUGUAAGGUGACAUUGGUUUUAUAUUGGGAAAUAUUUGUGAGAAAUAAAUAAAAUAUGUUGCUUUGCAUAAAUAUUCAACUCGUAUGCUGUGGAAGCUCCCAGUUUACCAUUGGCUUCCACUUGUGAGUAUUUACAGUUGCUAUCACAUUUUCUGGAUCAAUACCCACUGUUGAAGGAUCACUGGUCAGGAUGUGAAUGUAAAGGAAAGUUAAGACAAUAGAUACAUUAGACAAGUACACAGGCGUAGAUUAGGAAAUGACAUCCAAGAGUUUGGAUAUUUCAGUGAGCAUUAAUAAUCAGUAAGUGGAAGCUGCAGCACACCACCAGGGCACUGCCAAGAAAAGGCUGUACCCCAAAACUCAGUGCUUGAACAAGAAGGAGACUGCAAAAAGCCACAGAAAGGCUAACAAUAACUUUGAGGGAGCUACAGUGUUCAGAGGCUGGGGGUGGGGUAAUGGUGCACCAGUCACCCCACCCCAGCUCUGGAUAAGUCGAAAAGUACUAUGGAAACCAUGUGAAUGACCCAGCUGCGAUGUAAGAAAAGGUGGGGUCAUCUUGUUGUCAGAUGAGACCAAUAUUGAGAUUGUUGGCUAAACCCCAAUAGCUAUGUGUUCCCAUGCAACAGGACAAGACAUCCCUAAAAUAAAGUAUGUUGGUGGCAGAGCCAUGCAAAUGGUGAUGUUUCUCUUUAGUAGGGAUUGGGGACCUUGGUAAAUUUGAGGAAAUAAUGAAUGAGGAAAAAUACACUGAAAUAUGCAGGAGUACUUGCUUCAGUCUUUCAUGAAGAAACAUUGUGGAACAAAUAAGUGAAUAUCCUACAGUGGCCCGAGUCCUGAUCUCAAUCCCAUUGAAAAGCUUUGGCAAUAUUUGAUGAUUGCAGCCCAGAAGCAUCAUCCAAUCAACCUCGACCAAAAUCUACCAAGAACAAUGGGCAAAAAUCAGUCUGACAGUUUACAAAGCUGGUUCAUACUUAACAAAAGACCUAAAGUUGUCUACUAAAUUUAAAUGUGUAGGGUUGAAUACUUAUGUAUGCAACAUAUUACCAAAUGUUAUCAUUCCCAACAUAAAACCAAUGUUGCCUUACAAUUGAUUUUAAAUGUCAGUGUUUUAAAAAAGAAAAUUAGCAAAAUGUCAAUGUAUUAAUUGUAAUUCAGCAAUAUGAGAGAAUUGAUCAAGGGUUUUAAUAUAUUGGAAGGCACUAUAUAUAAAAAACUUUUUUUUUCACUCACUGGCAACUUUAUUACCUGUUACUAGAUAGAUUGUACAUCUUUCAAGUAUCAAGUAGGACCCCCUUUUGCCUACAUCUGCUUCAAGGAUCAACAUAACCUAUUGACCAAGUCUGCAUUCUUAGUAAAUUGAGUUGCAGCCUGUUUUGCUAUUUGCGCUACAAAUAGCCAAAACAGGCUGUGUACCUAAUAAAGUGGCCAUUGAGUUAAACAUUAAACCCAUUAUGCUGUUCUGAUAUUCCCCAUACAGUGAUUAAUAUCUGAGACACAUGGACAUUGUGUGAAUCCUCAUUGCUUUGGAAUGGCGUAGAGCAAAACCCUCAGUCUGGAACUUAACUGUUGUAUGGUUGAUGUCAAGACAUUAUAUUUCACUUCGUUUCAUCUGUCCUGACACUGAUGUUCCUCCAAUGUGAUUAUGUAAAAAUAUAUGUUAGCAUCAGCAAACAACAUAGACAGACAUGCAAACACAACGUACUGUGUCAUUUCAUUAAAAACACACAUACACACGUACACACAUCACACCGCCGAUACGCACCCACCACCCAAUUGUUUUUUUAGACAGAGCAAUGCUAACUCUCCCAGAUUUAAACUCAGGGCUUUAGAAUGGGAAAGGGGCAUGGAGACGACACUGUGUGUGUGUGGGUGUGUGUGUGUGCUGAUUAGUGAAUAUAUCUUAGGCCAUAUCAUACUUACUCUAUUAUAACAUGACAGUAACCACCCAGAGAUGAUGCAGACAGAGGAGUUGUUCAUCACCACACAGAGAUGAUGCAGACAGAGGAGUUGUUCAUCACCACACAGAGAUGAUGCAGACAGAGGAGUUGUUCAUCACCACACAGAGAUGAUGCAGACAGAGGCGUUGUUCAUCACCACACAGAGAUGAUGCAGACAGAGAUGCUGUUCAUCACCACACAGAGAUGAUGCAGACAGAGGCAUUGUUCAUCACCACACAGAGAUGAUGCAGACAGAGGCAUUGUUCAUCACCACACAGAGAUGAUGCAGACAGAGAUGCUGCUCAUGACCACACAGAGAUGAUGCAGACAGAGGCAUUGUUCAUCACCACACAGAGAUGAUGCAGACAGAGGCGAUGUUCAUCACCACACAGAGAUGAUGCAGACAGAGAAGCUGUUCAUCACCACACAGAGAUGAUGCAGACAGAGGCAUUGUUCAUCACCACUCAGAGAUGAUGCAGACAGAGGCAUUGUUCAUCACCACACAGAGAUGAUGCAGACAGAGAUGCUGCUCAUGACCACACAGAGAUGAUGCAGACAGAUUUUGUUAAUCAGAAUCUGUUCGGUGCCAGGUGCAAUCCAUGUAAUCCCAUCAAUAUGACUACAACUUUCAAACACCUGACAAUUAACAUACAUAAUUUUGAAACAAAACAGCAACAGUAGCUCCUCACAGAGAAUGAUAUCCCAAGGUAUUCCAUACCUGGCAUAAUCAUUAUGGCCCAGUAAUUAAUUAGGUUGGAAGACUCUACAGCCUAUCGCUUUGUGAUUGUAGUUAACUCUUAAAUGCACUUCAUCGUUUUAUACACUAACCUGGACUCUUGUUCGUCCCCACCCCCACAUUGUGUAUACACUUAGAGGAACCCAGAAAUGGUUGCUCUUUAAAUAGGGUGAAUCAACUGUACAAGGCUUUCCACUUAAACCCACAGAGCAAUAAGCAUUUAUUUUGUGAGAUCUGUUAUGUUACAACCCCAUUUACAAAAAAGUUGGGCUCUGCGUAAAAUGCAAAUAAAAUCAGAAUGAAAUGAUGUGCACAUCAUUUGAUAUCAGUAUACAUCAUUUCAUCCCAGUACAGUCUCAAGAGCAUGGAGGGGAUACCAGGAGACUGGCCGUUACACGAGGAGAGCUGGACAUGGCCGUAGAAGGGCAUCAACCCAGCAGCAGGACUGUUAUCUGCUCCUUUGUGCGACAAGGAAGAGGAGGAGCACUGCCAGAGCCCUACAAAAUGACCUCCAGUGGGCUACUGUUGUGCAUGUUUCUGACCAAACUGUCAGAAACAGACUCCAUGAGGGUGGCUUGAGGCCCUCUAGUGGGAACUGUGCUCACAGCCCAGCACCGUGCAGCUCGAUUGGCAUUCGCCAGAGAACACCAGAAUUGACAGUUCUGCCAUUGGCGCCUCGUUCUCUGAUAGAGUCUGGAGACAGCGUGGUGAACGUUAUGCUGCCUGCAACAUCAUCCAGCAUGACCGGUUUGGCGGUGGGUCAGUGAUGGUCUGGGGAGGCAUAUCCUUGGAGAGUCGCACAGACCUCCAUGUGCUAGCCAACGGUACCCUGACUGCAGUACCAUCAUCAGACCUUACACUGGUGCAGUGGGCCCUGGGUUCCUCCUGGUUCAGGACAAUGCCCGGCCUUUUGGCCAGAGUAUGUAGGCAGUUCCUUGAUGACGAAGGCCUUGAUGCCAUUGACUGGCCCUCACGUUCCCCAGACCUGAAUUGUUAUGGAUCGGUGCAUUAUUCCCAUUUUAUAUAGCAUUCAAACUUUCUGGAAAUGGGGUUGUACAAUUUCAACUUUCAAUAACAACUGGUCAAACUGUUCAGAAGUGACCCCUGACCUUGAGAUUAAGGGUCAUAUAAGUGAUCAAUUAUGAAAUACAGGUAAUAGUAACAACUUUCUAUAGGCUAACAUCACUCAGCAUGUUAAAAUAGCGCUAGACAUCUGUGUUUUCCAAUCUUUUUGUCUCACAUCUCUUGCUUUGUUUCCAAAUAUUUUGUGUCAUUCAUGCUCUUUCU
ensembl:lncRNA